UGGACGCCUGGGGUAGGUCUCUCUCUGGUAAGGCAGGCUCCAGACUCAAGAGUGGAGAGACUCCAUCCUCUCACUGAGGCUGUCCAUAAAACGACAACGUAGGUGGACAUGGCUGCUUAUUCUUCGCUCCUUUCCUCCUUCCACUCUUCUUCUCCACCCUUUUCCUCUCCACUUUCUCGCUCCCCAUCCAGAAAAUUAGUUUCCUUUCCCUCCGAGUCCUUCUCUUCCACCCCCCCUAUCCUCUCCUUCCUCCACCAACGACGCCGCAAUUACCUUUUCAUCCCAAACAGUAACAAUAGCAGUGGCAGUUACACCGCCACCAAACCUUCAUGCCUCCCCAAGCUCGCACUUUCCAAACUCCUCUUCUCCUCGCCUCUAGAUUCGCUCCUCGUCCUCUGCGCUUCGCUGGCCUUGUCUUUAUCUCUCUUUCUAGCCGAUGUCGAUUCCGCUUCGGCAUUCGUGGUCAGCACGCCUAGAAAAUUGCAGUCCGAUGAGCUCGCUACGGUUCGCCUUUUCCAGGAGAAUACGCCCUCCGUUGUUUACAUCACCAAUCUCGCUGUCAGGCAGGACGCCUUUACGUUGGACGUGUUGGAGGUGCCGCAGGGCUCGGGGUCAGGCUUCGUUUGGGAUAAAAAUGGUCAUAUUGUCACCAAUUAUCAUGUGAUUCGUGGCGCUUCUGAUCUCAAGGUCACUCUCGCUGACCAAACAACUUAUGACGCAAAAGUUGUUGGGUUUGACCAAGAUAAGGAUGUUGCUGUUUUGCGUGUUGAUGCACCUAAAGACAAAUUGAGACCUGUACCUAUUGGGAUCUCUGCAGACCUACUGGUUGGUCAAAAGGUCUAUGCUAUUGGAAACCCUUUUGGACUUGACCAUACUCUUACAACUGGUGUUAUCAGUGGGCUUCGUAGAGAAAUCAGUUCUGCUGCCACUGGCCGACCCAUUCAGGAUGUUAUCCAGACAGAUGCUGCCAUUAAUCCUGGUAAUAGUGGAGGGCCUCUAUUAGAUAGUUCUGGAAACCUUAUUGGGAUAAAUACAGCUAUAUACUCUCCAUCUGGUGCGUCCUCUGGUGUUGGAUUUUCAAUUCCCGUUGACACUGUAGGUGGCAUUGUUGACCAGCUGGUGAGAUUUGGGAAGGUCACAAGACCAAUUUUAGGGAUUAAGUUUGCACCUGAUCAAUCUGUGGAGCAGUUGGGAGUAAGUGGGGUGCUUGUUUUAGAUGCUCCUAUGAAUGGUCCAGCUGGUAAAGCGGGCCUGCAACCAACUAAACGUGAUGCCUAUGGUAGACUCAUUUUGGGUGACAUCAUAACAUCUGUGAAUGGUAAAAAGGUCACCAAUGGCAGUGAUUUGUACAGAAUUCUUGACCAGUCUAAAGUGGGUGAUACGGUGACUGUGGAGGUAUUGCGUGGUGAUCACAAGGAGAAGAUUCCUGUAAUACUUGAACCAAAGCCUGAUGAGUCAUGAUAUACUAGUGGUCUGGCUUGUAUAAUUUUAGGUACAUAUAUAUUGUUUUUGUGCAUUAAUUGUUUCAUGCCAAGGGGUCCUGAUGUACAUAUGUAUUUCAACUGCUGUACGACCUCUAGUAGUAAAGUUUUCAUAUUGCUGAGGGUAAAACUGUGUAACAGUAAUCUCCUUUAGUGCGUAUCAAUGGAAAGCUAAGGGAAAGAGCUAAAAGUGGGUUGUAGUAAGAGGCACACCUAGGUCCUGCUCUGAUUGAAGUAUUGAACUACCCUUGAUUAGGCUUGAUUAUUGCUCCCAAUAUAUCAGUUUCCGUAGGGCAGUAAUUUGGGACCCUGUAGUCAGCGAAGUUGUGAAAUCUUCUCAAAUGAAGAAGGGCCAUUGAUUACAAAAGAAAGAAAUGCAUGAAUAUAUAGACCUGAUCUCCAACUCUUUCCAUAGGACGAGAUGACAGACUACCGAUACAGCACUAAUCUUUUGGCUGGGUUAUAUACCCUAAUUCUCUUUCCAAAGCCUCUUCUCCAGAUCAAGUACAUGCAAGGUAGCUCUGGUGGGCUUUCCGAAAUUGGAAAUCGUUAUGAGCAGAAAGUUGGUGAAUUCAAUCGUCUUGUGAAAUGGUUAGCCCUGAGGUGCACGCACGAAAUAAAAGCAAUCGGAAAGCAGGGUUUGAGGAGCUCGGGGGCAACAAAGAAUCGAAUUUCAGGAUAAUUCUGAAUUUUAGUCAUGUGUCAUGAUAACCCAGUAACUUCAAAUUUGGUGUAAUGUUGCAAAAUUUCUACAAGAGCUUACACCAAAUGAGGAUUUGAAAUUGAAGAUGAGAUCGGGCUGGAGGAACUGAUCAAUGCAGGUGUCCAUUUGUUAUUACCGAUUGGUAUGAAGUUUGAAUAAUGGAUGUAUUAAUGUUGUGUCAAGAUGUUGGCUAACUCUGCAUUGAAAAUUAUCCAAAGUCAGCAUUAUUUGGCGUUUUUUUUCAUAA